GAAAAGACAAGUCAGCAAGAACCGUAGGCACAAACCAAAAACCAGAGAUUUCGUUAUCCACUAAUAAGCUUCCUCUGUCCAAAUUGCCAAAUCGUAAAAAUUUCUCGAGCUUAAAACUGAAAAUUAAAAUGGCAGCUUCUUCUCCGUCUCUCCUGCUACCUCUAGUUUCAGCAUCUAGAGAUGGUCUCUCUGUAAAGAAGAAUCCAAAUACAUCGAGAUAUAUAGUAGCUACAAGAGUCAAGUAUGAGCUUCGAAUCAUCUCUUCAGAAACAAGAGAGCAUAGCUGUAGAUUCAAUAGUCUAUCUACUCGUAGAGAUGCAAUGCUGUUAGUACUCGGUGUGUCAGGAGGAUUAUCAAUGAGCUCACUUGCGGCUUAUGCAGCUGGUUUGCCUCCUGAAGAUAAACCAAGACUCUGUGAAGCUGAAUGUGAGAAAGAGCUUGAAAAUGUUCCAAUGGUAACCACAGAAUCAGGAUUGCAGUAUAAAGAUAUCAAAGUCGGUAGAGGCCCGACUCCUCCGGUUGGUUUUCAGGUUGCUGCUAAUUAUGUGGCUAUGGUUCCAUCAGGGCAAAUUUUUGACAGUUCCCUGGAGAAAGGUCUACCGUAUCUCUUUCGAGUUGGGUCUGGUCAGGUGAUCAAGGGACUUGAUGAAGGAAUCUUGAGCAUGAAAGCUGGAGGCAAACGCAGACUCUACAUUCCUGGGCCUUUGGCCUUUCCAAAGGGUCUAACCUCAGCUCCAGGGAGGCCGAGAGUUGCACCAAACAGUCCAGUGGUAUUUGAUGUGAGCUUAGAGUACAUACCAGGCCUUGAGUCAGACGAAGAAUGAAACUCUUUUUUUUUAAGUGCAAAGUUCAAUACACAGUUACAAGAUUUUCUAUGAUGCAUGAUUACGAUAAAACUUGUGCGAAAUCUUCUUGACACAGCUUGAUCUAGCUUGUGCGAGAUUGAUCUUAAGGAGAAUAAUAGGAGAUGGACAUCCACUUAUCAUCAUUUAGACAUUAAUUUGUAAUAAUAACACAAGCAAACGUGAAACGUCUAGCGUUUCUUAUUUUUAUUUUAGUUAUUCAUUUGUUA